GUCACUUCUCUGAUUUGCCUAAGAGAAAAUAUGGUAUCUGUCCUUACCAGUAAAACAUCUGAUAUGUCCUCUAUCAGUGGAUAAUAUAUUAAAUGGUAUUUUUGAAGAUAGGAGGUGGAAUAGGAGCUUGCUUGGUCUAUCCCAUGAAUUGACCUAGUAUUGCAGCACCUUCAGGAAGAGUGCAGCCUCC